AGCGAACGCUGGCGGCAGGCUUAACACAUGCAAGUCGAACGCAUCACUUCGGUGGUGAGUGGCAGACGGGUGAGUAACACGUGGGAACGUACCUUCGAUCUGGGAUAACUUCGGGAAACUGGAGCUAAUACCGGAUACGCCCUUUUGGGGAAAGGUUUACUGUCGAAGGAUCGGCCCGCGUCUGAUUAGCUAGUUGGUGGGGUAACGGCCUACCAAGGCGACGAUCAGUAGCUGGUCUGAGAGGAUGAUCAGCCACACUGGGACUGAGACACGGCCCAGACUCCUACGGGAGGCAGCAGUGGGGAAUAUUGGACAAUGGGCGCAAGCCUGAUCCAGCCAUGCCGCGUGAGUGAUGAAGGCCUUAGGGUUGUAAAGCUCUUUUGUCCGGGACGAUAAUGACGGUACCGGAAGAAUAAGCCCCGGCUAACUUCGUG
rnacentral:rRNA from 1 species